rnacentral:rRNA from 1 species
UACGUAGGGUGCAAGCGUUGUCCGGAAUUAUUGGGCGUAAAGAGCUCGUAGGCGGUUUGUCGCGUCUGCCGUGAAAGUCCGGGGCUCAACUCCGGAUCUGCGGUGGGUACGGGCAGACUAGAGUGCAGUAGGGGAGACUGGAAUUCCUGGUGUAGCGGUGAAAUGCGCAGAUAUCAGGAGGAACACCGAUGGCGAAGGCAGGUCUCUGGGCUGUAACUGACGCUGGAGGAGCGAAAGCAUGGGGAGCGAACAGG